GUGGGAAACCUUCCUUUCAGUGGGGGAUAACAAUCCGAAAGGAUUGCUAAUACCGCAUACGUCGGCGAGGACCCCGGUUCUUGCCGGGAAAGAUGGCGCAAGCUGUCGCUGGAAGACGGUCCCGCGUCCCAUCAGCUAGUUGGUGAGGUAACGGCUCACCAAGGCAUAGACGGGUAGCUGGUCUGAGAGGAUGAUCAGCCACACUGGGACUGCGACACGGCCCAG
rnacentral:rRNA from 1 species